rnacentral:rRNA from 1 species
GACAGAGGGUGCAAACGUUGUUCGGAAUUACUGGGCGUAAAGCGAGUGUAGGCGGUUUGGUAAGUCGGAUGUGAAAGCCCCGGGCUCAACCCGGGAACUGCACUCGAUACUGCCGAGCUAGAGUAUCGGAGAGGUUGGUGGAAUUCUCGGUGUAGAGGUGAAAUUCGUAGAUAUCGAGAGGAACACCGGUGGCGAAGGCGGCCAACUGGACGAAUACUGACGCUGAGACUCGAAAGCGUGGGGAGCAAACAGG